AGGCUUGAACAAAUAGGAUUACAUGGUGGGGGGUCAUUUUUCGCUGGUUUGAGCGGGGGUGGAUGUAUAGCUGUAACCGGCAGUGACGUAGCGGUAGUUAAUUUACUUGUUAAUUGGUUGCUUGUGUUUAAAUUAUGUCGCUUUUAAAGUAAUUUUCGGUGAAGGAAGGUCAUAGUGAAAUAUGGCGUAAUGAUACUAUAUGACGCGAGGAGUGAAUGUGGCGUGUGUGAAACUUAGCAAAAGCUCAUUUUGAAGUCAUUCACGAGCUUCACGAGGGACUUCUUGAAACACAAAUCUGGCAUAAAGCAUGUUAUAGCACAGUGAAACUUCUUCACUUCUUCAUAAAGCUGCCACGUCCAAGUCCCAGUUGUUCAAGUCCUGUGAAUGAGGUGGCCACUCGUUAAGAUAAGACAUGCUAAAGAUUCUGAUAGCCGUGAAAUGCUUACGUGUGUAAGGUGAAAGUGGACAUAAAAGAACUAUAAUCAUCCAUACCGGAAGACUGAAGAAAUUAUCAGAAUAUGAAUGAAUAUUUCUGCUGUCUUUUGAAAUGAUCUUCCUGGUUACGAUUGGAGGACCUCUUCAAAAGGACUGCAUAAUGGCUGACUGCAAGCAGAAUUCAAGUGCUGGAAAUUUCAACACGG